rnacentral:rRNA from 1 species
GUCUCACAGUUUUGAUCCCUGGCUCAGACGAAACGCUGGCGGCGCGCCUAAUACAUGCAAGUCGAGCGAGAAGACGUAGCAAUACGUUGGUACAGCGGCGAAACGGGUGAGGAAUACAUGGGUAACCUACCCUCGAGUGGGGAAUACUAGCCGAAAGGUUAGCUAAUACCGCAUACGAUUCCAGAACUGCGGUUUUGGAAGGAAAGCGAUACCGUGGGUAUCGCGCUCCUGGAUGGGCUCAUGUCCUAUCAGCUUGUUGGUGAGGUAACGGCUCACCAAGGCUUCGACGGGUAGCUGGUCUGAGAGGACGAUCAGCCACACUGGCACUGCGACACGGGCCAGACUCC